rnacentral:tRNA from 1 species
UUCAGGGAGACCUUACCCACCUCAACUCGAAAGCACAAAGCAAAUAGAGAGAGGAUUGGUCAACCUAGGUCGGUCGAGGAAUUUGUGUGGCUCUCAAACUUGUCUGGGUUUACUUCUAAGAAGAAGGGAAACGAGGGCUAUUAGCUCAGGUGGUUAGAGCGCACCCCUGAUAAGGGUGAGGUCCCUGGUUCGAGUCCAGGAUGGCCCACCUUCAAAACGCUCAAGAGAGAGAUAUUCCUUAGGGUAGUUUCGUCUCUAAAAACAGACUUCUGCAUCAGGAAGUCAAAAGUUUUGCCUUCAAAGAAGAAAGACAACAUGAGUUCAGCAACUUCUAACGAUUCAGAAGCCUGCUGAACUAAUGUUCAGCCAGAACCUUGAAAACUGCAUAGCAACAAAAGCCAAAGCAAGGUA